GGUUUGCCACAUCCAUCUUGCGAACGACAGUUGGCAACCCACAAGAUUUCAACAGUCCUCCAGCCACCUAUAAGAUGUGGAACAUCUCCUUCCCCAGGCAAUAGCUCUUCCACUUGGCUUCUGGUACCUCCAGGAUUCCCACCAACCUCCAGCCAUGAAGAUCUUCUGUCUCCUCUCUGUUGCCGUCCUCCUCCUCCUGUUGGCUCCAGAUUUCACCAGAGCCAAAGUUGCUGUUCCAAUAUGUGAACGUAUUGGUGGGAAAUGCAUAAGAUGGUGCGCGAAGCCACUUUUUAAGUGUUCAGAUGUCCUAAUGUGUUGCCGUUAAGGCGAGUAACUCUACAGAUCUACGGUGCAAGACCUCUGGUGAAAGGAAGACCUCCCUGCUCUCCUCUGAUGUGCAGCUGCCUUGACUGCCCCCCCCCAUUUCUGCUGGGGAAGAAACCGCUUUGCUUGAUGCUACUGAAGGCGAUUCUGGGAAGGAGUCAAGAGGGAGCCAUCCUGUCUGCCUGUCUACUCAUGACUCCUGAGAAAGUGGGCUCAGGAUUGGAGCUUGGAUUUGGUUUGUCUGCAAAAGCGCUUUAGCUUUUUCUUUUUAAUAAAUGCAAGCAUUGGAAA